AUAAAUUGAUUAUUCUGUCUCCUCCUCCUCCUCCAUAUUUCCAAAAAAGUUUCAGCAAUUUCUUCUCAGAAGCUUUCCCUCGAUCAGAAGAAGAGGAAUGGCUUUCAGGGUUUUUCCGAUAUGCUUGAUUCUCUUGGCGGUUCAAUUUUCGGUAUCAAGGGCUCUGAUCUCCUCUCCAGAUUUCAAACCUCCGUAUCCUAAAGCAU
rnacentral:lncRNA from 1 species